rnacentral:rRNA from 1 species
CCUACGGGAGGCUGCAGUGGGGAAUAUUGGGCAAUGGGCGCAAGCCUGACCCAGCAACGCCGCGUGAAGGAAGAAGGCUUUCGGGUUGUAAACUUCUUUUCUCAGGGACGAAGCAAGUGACGGUACCUGAGGAAUAAGCCACGGCUAACUACGUGCCAGCAGCCGCGGUAAUACGUAGGGGGCACGCGUUAUCCGGAUUUACUGGGUGUAAAGGGCGUGUAGGCGGGAAAGCAAGUCAGAUGUGAAAACCACGGGCUCAAACUGUGGCAUGAAUUUGAUACUGUUUUUCUUGAGUACUGGAGAGGAAGACGGAAUUCCUAGGGUAGCGGUGAAAUGCGGAGAUAUUAGGAGGAAUACCAGUGGCGAAGGCGGUCUGCUGGACAGCAACUGACGCUGAGGCGCGAAAGCGUGGGGAACAAACAGGAUUAGAUACCCGAGUAGUC